AUUGAACGCUGGCGGCAGGCUUAACACAUGCAAGUCGAGCGGGGUGAUGGUGCUUGCACUAUCACUUAGCGGCGGACGGGUGAGUAAUGCUUAGGAAUCUGCCUAUUAGUGGGGGACAACAUCUCGAAAGGGAUGCUAAUACCGCAUACGUCCUACGGGAGAAAGCAGGGGAUCACUUGUGACCUUGCGCUAAUAGAUGAGCCUAAGUCGGAUUAGCUGGUGGGGGGGGUAAAGGCCUACCAAGGCGGCGAUCUGUAGCGGGUCUGAGAGGAGUCUCCGCCAGACUGGGACGAAGACACGGCCCAGACUCCGACGGGAGGAAGCAGGGGGGAAUAUUGGACAAUGGGGGGAACCCUGAUCCAGCCAUGCCGCGUGUGGGAAGAAGGCCUUAUGGUUGUAAAGCACUUUAAGCGAGGAGGAGGCUCUUUUGGUUAAUACCCAAGAUGAGUGGACGUUACUCGCAGAAUAAGCACCGGCUAACUCUGUGCCAGCCGCCGCCGUAA
rnacentral:rRNA from 1 species